rnacentral:SRP_RNA from 2 species
GCCGGGCGCGGUGGCUCACGCCUGUAAUCCCAGCACUUUGGGAGGCUGAGGCAGGCGGAUCACCUGAGGUCAGGAGUUUGAGACCAGCCUGGCCAACAUGGUGAAACCCUGUCUUUA